AGACCAUUUCAAAGAGAGCUUGUGUGACCAAAACCAGGAAGGAGGUCUUAACGCUGCGACCUAAGGUUGAAGUUCUCCAUAAGAUGUAAUAGACACUUAAUAGUACUAUAUUUUCUUGUGCAGAUAUAAAA